rnacentral:lncRNA from 1 species
CACACACCACACAGACUGCUGUGUGGCCGUUCCUGGGGGUUGCUUCCCACCCCGUGGUUCAUUGCAAACCAUGGUACUGAAAAGGGAGAGGAGAGAAGUGUGGGGCGGGAGCUGGCUAUCUUCAGAUCUUAGAGAGUGCAGUUCAUCCCCUGGAUAAAGGCGUCCGUCUCUUGUGCUAUUCCUGGGUCUUUUGGUUCAAGCCGCAGACAAAGAGAUCUUUAUAAAUGCAGGUUCGUUCUCACGACUUCUCUCCCUGGCCCAUUUAUCUUAUUUUCUUUUCUCGUAACUUACCUGUGUCCUAUUCUCUUCUUUCUCUGUCGUUUGCUUUUAUGUCUGUGAUCUCUGCACUCCUCCACCCUGUAUCACACCAGGUUAAUGCCCAGACAACUGCUUGAAAGGAACAAGUGUCAAGGGGAAUUCCUUAAUAAUCAAGAUGGCAACAGAUGGGCAGGGCUCUCAGCAGAAUGGCAGGUGUGCUUAACCAUCAGGCUCCUUCUGAGGAGUGCUGACCAUUUUUCCUGGGAAGAGGAAAGCAGGCAACACAAAUCCCCUCCUUCAGGUUAGCUUGUCUCCUGGUGUCUGGCACUGUCCGUGGACAGAGAUUUCCCCCAUGCACAAGAAUCCCUUAGGGUUUCAAUAGUACAUUCAUGGAGAGGUGAACGUUUAGCUUCUGGAUCUCAUGAAGGAUUGGUUUUAGCUGAGCAAAAAAGGAUAGAUGGAAGAGGAACAAUGAAGAAAGUUAAUGUCAGGUCAAUGUCAAAACAUUCCCUUCCAGAGCCCCCAUUCUCGCUUUAAGGGAUGGUUAGGCUCUGAGAGAGUCCACAGUAUACCCUAUGCCCUCCAGUGGGUCUUGUUAGAAAAAAGAACCCAGUAUUUAUUUUAUAGAACAUCUGUUACUCACAAGGGUGUUCUUCCUUUUGGGGCAGAGAACUGUUCUGUCACCUGGACUGUGUUUGUGGAAGAUUCGAAGGGGCCCCACGUGUUCAUUUUGCAACAGAAAGUUGGCAUUGUUAGGACUUAGAAAUCUGUCCCUUCGAUGGGCGACCUUGGUCCUCAAUAUGUCCCAUGGUGUUCUGCAGAAAGGACGAGGGUAUACCCUUGAAUAGGAUGAUUUAAACUGUUACCACGUUAACUAUUUCUUUGCUGGCUGAGGGUGUGUUUGGUGGGCCAGCUCAUUAUUUUUCCCCAAUGGGAUGCAUUGGUCUUACAGCACAAUCAUUUCUUGUUCAAUAAAGAUGUUAACUGAUUCUCUUCAGCAUCCAACAUUAGAGCUUCAUAGGUCUUCAUCCCACAGCUGGACCGGGACGGGGCCAAGUCUUAGCAGUUGGAGGAAACAUACUCAUUUGAUGGCUCCGGGGUAACAUGGCUGCUUCUCCCAAUCAGUUAUCACUCUCAGACAAGGAUCUCCUGUGAUCCAUUAGGGGAGGGAUUAACAUCUCAUUUUGCAGCUCUUAAGUAUUUACUGCCAAGGCCGGGUUAUACAAAACUUAUUUCUGUCUCAUUUUCUUAGGAAAUAAGAACGUACCUCAGAGAGGCAUUGCGUUCUGUAAAGAAUUUUGUUAAUUGACUUUGCUGGAAAAGGGAACAUGAUUGAGAGAGGGGGGGGGAGAGGCAGAGAAGUCUUGGUGGGGGGAAGGGGUUCGAUCCCAGCUCCUUUGGCUCUGAAGAGAAAUCCCUCUCACCACUCCAACACUCCUGCCCUCACGGACAUACACACAUGUUAACUCCAACACCUUCCACACAUAUCCUUAGAUGUGGCAUUAACUAAGCAAACUAAAAAUGUGUAAUGUAAAUAACCAAAUCAGUUAUUUUCCUUUGCAAUUAAAAUAUAAGUGGUAUCUCUUUGGGCAGCCAGGGAGAUCUUUAAUUGUUAGUUCGCUUUGGUCAGUCAAAGCGAAGUGGAAGGAUUUUUUUUGUUUGUUUACAUGUGAACUGUUUAUUUUAUUCUUGAUCGCGUGGGACCGACGGCCAGUAUAUCCCAGUAGAGACAAAUUUCCCAGUUCUUAUUUGUCACAAGUAGUCACGUUGCCACAUUCAUCUUGCAACGAUGUCUACCUGGCAUCUGCCUGCUAUUCUGCAUGACUGGACCCCCAAAACCAUCACUGGUGAAGAGAAUUAUCCCUAUGUCCAUGUUUAUGAGAUAUGCCUACAGCACACAGAUACACACACAUGUUCACAUACGCCCAUAGAGUUCUUUAUCAACCUGGAAGCCAAAACCAUGUGUUGCCCAGCGACGUUGCAGAGUCUCAGAGGUGAGAUGGGCUGUCAGUGGCCUGAUAGAUUUGUUGUGGUCUCAAUGCUGUCUGAUACGAACCGAACCAAACUCCUUCAACCCAUUUCUGUGUUCUUUCUCGCAUCCUUUUCCAUUUUUCCCCCUCUUAUUUUAAAUAUGUCUGUGGAAAAGAGCAUGAAUUGGAGAACCUUGAUUUCUUGAGACUCUUCCCAGGUGGAACCAAGUCCGUGUGUUGUAAUUUGUAUGUCUUAUGAAUCAUUAAAGCAGAAGGAAAUACGCUUCCCUUCUCUUAAAACCAAACAAGACCCAGACUCUGUCAGACUCUCCCGUCGACAACGCGUGUUUGUGCCGCUUUGGUGUCAUGAGCUUCGAGAGCUCCGAAGGGGCCUCCAUGAGUUUAUUCUGACCCCAGUGAAGGAGACUAGCGGUGGGCAGUUGUACCAAGCCGGUAAAGGAGAAGGAAGAGUAGCUUCCUUCUCAUCUGGGACCUGUGUCUCAGUGGAGAAGGGCAUGUUUGUGCUUGAGAUUCAUUCCUCCCAGAAGGCCUUCGCUUUCACCUGCAGAUCCUAGCUUCUAGGUUACAAAUCAGUAAAAACCAAUAAGAUAACAAUGGACAGAAGUCAUUGAUAAGUAGAUCAGGACUACAUUUUUUUUCAGAUCGAUCAACAGGAGUACUAAUAUUAAUUUUGCCUGAGAGAUUUAUUUUGUCUACAUUAUUAUUUCAGACUUCUUGUCAAAUUUAAGGACUUGAGUUACACUGGUGGAGUUGACUGAGCAUGCCAGGGUUCAGCUGGCCAUGUGCGCACAAUGCUGGGGAGUGACCUGCAUAUUUCUGUGAACAAUACAUUUUAUUUACUCAGCUA